rnacentral:rRNA from 1 species
GACGAACGCUGGCGGCAUGCCUAACACAUGCAAGUCGAACGAGAAAGUUCNUUCGGGAGCAAUUAAAGUGGCGCACGGGUGAGUAACGCGUAGACAAUCUGCCCUUCAGUCUGGGACAACUUUUCGAAAGGAGAGCUAAUACCGGAUAACAAUGCAUGACACAAGUUGUAUAUUUGAAAGCUUUAUGUGCUGAAGGAGGGGUCUGCGUCCCAUUAGCUAGUUGGUAAGGUAAAGGCUUACCAAGGCAACGAUGGGUAGCGGGUUUGAGAGGACGAUCCGCCACACUGGAACUGAGACACGGUCCAGACUCCUACGGGAGGCAGCAGUGGGGAAUAUUGCACAAUGGAGGAAACUCUGAUGCAGCAAUGUCGCGUGAGUGAAGAAGGCCCUUGGGUCGUAAAGCUCUUUUAUGGGGGAAGAUGAUGACGGUACCCCAAGAAUAAGCACCGGCUAACUAUGUGCCAGCAGCCGCGGUAAUACAUAGGGUGCGAGCGUUGUUCGGAAUUACUGGGCGUAAAGGGCGCGCAGGCGGAAUAGUAAGUCGGAGGUGAAAGCCCGGGGCUCAACCCCGGAGGGUCUUUCGAAACUGCUAAUCUAGAGAGGGUCAGGGGCCGGCAGAAUUCCUGGUGUAGAGGUGAAAUUCGUAGAUAUCAGGAGGAAUACCGGUGGCGAAGGCGGCCGGCUGGGGCCACUCUGACGCUGAGGCGCGAAAGCGUGGGGAGCAAACAGGAUUAGAUACCCUGGUAGUCCACGCCGUAAACGAUGAGCACUGGACGUCCGGAGGGUUCGACCCUUCUGGGUGUCUCAGCUAACGCAUUAAGUG